rnacentral:lncRNA from 1 species
CAGGUGUGUCUGCAGAGCCGCCCGGGCCCUCGCUGUGUGCACGGCGCGCUGCCCUGCGGGCACAGAGGUGUCCAUGGCACGGUGGGUCCCAGCCCGGCCCCCCACCCCCGGCUCUCCGCAGUGUCUCAGCCCACUCUGGCUGCAGCUGCCCCAGCAGUGUGGUGUUUCUGCUCCAGCCCCGCUCCCACAGCCCACCAUUAGGAGGUGAUGGACCCCGCAGCGCUGUUGGCCACCCGCUCCGUUCCCUCGGUGUCCUCUGAGCUCACCACAGCUGUGCACACCGUGCUGACGUUCUGCUCUCCCUGUGCUGUGCUGGGCUGCUGCUGGGGCGCUUCUCCUUCAGUGCUGCCCUCCCUUUUCUCCACAUCAUUCCUGUUUUGUUCUGCUUUCAGCCUCUUGGCUGGUGGCUUUUCUCCUCCUCCUGCA